rnacentral:tRNA from 1 species
UAGCUCAGAUGGCAAGGGUGUCUAGCUUCUGACUAGAAGGUCCUGGGUUCAAUCCCAG